CUAGUUGGUGAGGUAAGAGCUCACCAAGGCAGAGAUCGGUAGCCGGCCUGAGAGGGCACACGGCCACACUGGCACUGAAACACGGGCCAGACUCCUACGGGAGGCAGCAGUGGGGAAUCUUGCACAAUGGGGGAAACCCUGAUGCAGCGACGCCGCGUGAGCGAUGAAGCCCUUCGGGGUGUAAAGCUCUUUCGGCAGGGACGAUAAUGACGGUACCUGCAGAAGCAGCUGCGGCUAACUACGUGCCAGCAGCCGCGGUAAUACGUAGGCAGCGAGCGUUGUUCGGAGUUACUGGGCGUAAAGGGUGUGUAGGCGGUUCUCUAAGUUUGGUGUGAAAUCUCCCGGCUCAACCGAGAGGGUGCGCCGAAAACUGGGGGACUAGAGUGCGGGAUGGGAGAGUAGAAUUCCUGGUGUAGCGGUGAAAUGCGUAGAUAUCAGGAGGAAUACCGGUGGUGUAGACGGCUCUCUGGACCGCAACUGACGCUGAGACACGAAAGCGUGGGUAGCAAACAGGAUUAGAUACCCUGGUAGUCCACGCCCUAAACGAUGCAUAUUUGGUGUAGGUCAUUCAUUUGAUCUGUGCCGGAGCUAACGCGUUAAAUAUGCCGCCUGGGGAGUACAGUCGCAAGGCUGAAACUCAAAGGAAUUGACG
rnacentral:rRNA from 1 species